rnacentral:rRNA from 1 species
UACGUAGGUGGCGAGCGUUGUCCGGAUUUACUGGGCGUAAAGAGCGCGCAGGCGGUCGUUCAAGUCGCGUGUGAAAGCCCCCGGCUCAACUGGGGAGGGUCACGCGAUACUGAUCGACUCGAAGGCAGGAGAGGGUAGUGGAAUUCCCGGUGUAGUGGUGAAAUGCGUAGAUAUCGGGAGGAACACCAGUGGCGAGGGCGACUACCUGGCCUGUUUCUUGACGCUGAGGCGCGAAAGCUAGGGGAGCAAACGGG